rnacentral:rRNA from 1 species
CAGCACCUCAAGUGGUCAGGAGGAUUAUUGGGCCUAAAGCAUCCGUAGCCUGCUCUGUAAGUUUCCGGGUUAAAUCCAUUAGCUCAACUGAUGGGCCGCCGAAAAAACUGCAGAGCUAGGGAGUGGGAGAGGUAGACGGUACACGGUAGGAAGGGGUAAAAUCCUUUGAUCUAUUGAUGACCACCUGUGGCGAAGGCGGUCUACCAGAACACGUCCGACGGUGAGGGAUGAAAGCUGGGGGAGCAAACCGGAUUAGAUACCCGGGUAGUCCCAGCUGUAAACGAUGCAGACUCGGUGAUGCCCUGGCUUGUGGCCAGUGCAGUGCCGCAGGGAAGCCGUUAAGUUUGCCGCCUGGGAAGUACGUACGCAAAGUAUG